CCUACGGGGGGCUGCAGUGAGGAAUAUUGGUCAAUGGACGAGAGUCUGAACCAGCCAAGUAGCGUGAAGGAUGACUGCCCUAUGGGUUGUAAACUUCUUUUAUAUGGGAAUAAAACGUUCCACGUGUGGGAUUUUGUAUGUACCAUAUGAAUAAGGAUCGGCUAACUCCGUGCCAGCAGCCGCGGUAAUACGGAGGAUCCGAGCGUUAUCCGGAUUUAUUGGGUUUAAAGGGAGCGUAGGUGGAUUGUUAAGUCAGUUGUGAAAGUUUGCGGCUCAACCGUAAAAUUGCAGUUGAAACUGGCAGUCUUGAGUACAGUAGAGGUGGGCGGGAUUCGUGGUGUAGCGGUGAAAUGCUUAGAUAUCACGAAGAACUCCGAUUGCGAAGGCAGUUCACUGGACUGCAACUGACACUGAGGCUCGAAAGUGUGGGUAUCAAACAGGAUUAGAUACCCCAGUAGUC
rnacentral:rRNA from 1 species